AUAGUAAAAUGAAUAAUCUUUGAAAGUUGAAGUUUUCAAUUAUACUUAUAAUAAAUAAAUUUUAAUUCGCCCCAAUUCGGUGGACAGGGAUGUAGCCACUGCGAAGAAAACAGUCAGUCGUCAGAGCACAACGCCAUGACGACGGCGCACCGGUUCCUGAAUUUAAAAUAGACUAUUUAGCCAUGCCUAAUACGUUAUACAAUAUAAAUACAACGAGCGGUAAUAACCAAUCAAUAGUGGAAUGUUGUUAUAUAAAUGCGUGCAUCAACAUGAACGGCUCAGUAAAUGAAUUUGAUGAAUAUAAGAUGAAAUAUUACAGCUUUAACAAGUAAUAAUUCAUCUCAAAACAAUAAAACUGUCUUCCUAGAGGAUUUCCAGAAUUUCAUUACCAUUAACAGUCGAUGAAUUUGCUUCUAGAAUGGAAUUUAGAAUCAGCAAUCACCAAUCAGUAUACACAUCUUACAUGGAUAUAUUUCUAUACCAAUUUACACUGAACAAGGAACCUCUAAUAUUGAACAAUAAACCGUUAUUCCAAACAUUGUGGUCAAACGAUGUCAUAUCAAAAAACACAGUAUUUCAAUAAUCCUAAUGAGGUUACUUUACAAAGAAUGUUAUAACCAAAAGUUGUCAAAAUAUGUUGGUGGAAUAUUGUUUGUGAUAUAAUCAAAAAUGGCUUUGCGAUAACAGUGUUAUAGUAUUCUAUAGCCAGUGCAAUUUGUUAGAACUUUUCAUUCUAAAAUCAAGGAUUUACAUUUUGGUAAUGAUGCCUUGAAUUCCCCAAAAGGAAAAUUGUCUUCAAAAUAUUUUAACAUCAUUUGAACAAUGACACAAUGUGAAUAGAAAUUAUGGAUUUAUUUGAUAGAUAUUGACUUAAACAGAAUAUACUAUAAAAAUUGAAGAAGUGUCUCUAAAACGCAUUAAAAUAUUGGAUGAACGGAUAAAUAAUAAUGCUAACACACCAGAUUUAACCAA